rnacentral:lncRNA from 1 species
CUGCAGGGAAUGUGGUUACCAGGAGCCCAAGGUGCCGUGCUCUGAAAUCCAUCACCUCAUUUGUCUCAUGGUUGUACUUCUCAUAGACUAAUCCCCCACAGUGACAAUGUUUGAGUGUGGCAGUGAUACGAGGAAAGGUGAAUGCCUGGGAGACAGAAGACUUCGCUGACGAUCACCUUUGGCUUGAAGACUCCCAAACUGCCUUUCCCAAUCUUCCUAUUCCCAUCCUCUCUCUUUCACUCAAAGUCAGACUUGCUUUCAGCUCAGGUGGGUCUCCUAGCCUCACCCAGAUCCUGCCCCAUAUUCCCUCACACAGGUAUUCCUCCUAACGCAAUCCUUUUCCAUUUAAUCACAUCUGGUCUGCUUCUCCAAGGAUCCAUCUUGGAGUCUCCUUAUCAGGGAAUCCAAACGAACCCGGUAUCCUUUUAUUUAAGCUUUUCCAUCCAAGAAGGCAUGCCUGUUUUUUCAAAGUAGGAGCUGUUUUUCAUCAAAUGAGAAGUUAAGGCUCCACCAACUCAGGAAGAGGGGAAAAAAAUGCCUGUAUCUUUCAAACGGCUCUUUUUUCUCCCUUCUAGGGCCGUGACUGUUUUAGAUAUUAUUAGGGUCCAGUUUCAGUGAAAGCAUAAGCCACCCAAUGUAUUGUUAUAUCUUCACAGUCAGAAGGGAUGUCUGCCUGUGUAUAAUGGAUGUAUGUAACUCUUUUUGGAUCCUCUUCAGGACAAAAAGGGAAAAAGAUAGAUCCAAUUCACGGACAUCCCAGUUCAUGUGGCAGCAGGUGGGAUUCUUACUGGCUGAGAGUGGUUCUUAAAACAACGCCCAGUGAUUAAAACCCACAGCUGAGGUGCAGAAGGCCCCCAGGAAUUGAACUCACAACUCAUUCAGUGCCGAUAGUAGCCCCCCAGUACAUAGUUGUAUAUUCUUCGCUGUGGAUCCUUCCAGUUGUGGCACGUGGGACGGCGCCUCAGCGUGGCCCGAUGAGCAGUGCCAUGUCCACGCCCAGGAUUCGAACCAAAGAAACACUGGGCCGCCUGCAGCGGAGCUCGCAAACUUAACCACUCGGCCACGGGGCCAGCCCCUCAGGUGCAGGUUUUUAAAAACCAUUCUAACGUGGCAAUGGAUUUAAAGUGCCUUUGUUAGAACAGUGGAUCUCAUUAAACAUCCAGGAGAAAAAAGUGCAAUUCAUCAAACAAAACUAUGGUUAAUGAAGUCAAUAAAAAGAUGUAACGUUAUACAUAAAUGUGCUGGAAACGUCUUUCAUUUUAAAACCACACCUUGAAUAAGUUAAUAGUUAAAUAGAUAGAUAAAUUUCUAACUUUUUGCUAACAUUGUAGCUACAAUUUAACUCUUUGAAGACUUGUUUAUAACUUAAAAAUAGAAAUUGACUACUG